CAAUAGCGUAUAUUAAAGUUGUUGCAGUUAAAAAGCUCGUAGUUGGAUUUCUGGUCGGAAGCUCCUGUCCUCUGAUGAGCGUACAAGUGCGUCCUACCAUCCUUCUGUUAACCUUUAAGGCUUUCGCGGCUUUCUAGGGGCUCAGAUAUUUUACCUUGAGAAAAUUAGAGUGUUUCAGGCAGGCUAGCGCCGGAAUACAUUAGCAUGGAAUAAUGGAAUAGGACUUUUGCCUCUUCUGUUGGUCAUGAGGCGCGAGUAAUGAUUAAUAGGGAUAGUUGGGGGCAUUAGUACUUAACUGUCAGAGGUGAAAUUCUCGGAUUUGUUAAAGACUAACUUAUGCGAAAGCAUUUGCCAAGGAUGUUUUCAUUAA
rnacentral:rRNA from 1 species